rnacentral:siRNA from 1 species
GGGCUUUUGAUACGCUUGUGG